UCAAAAUGAGUAAAGUGUUUCAAAAAUUCGUCCUUUAUUUUAUAACAUCACUUUUUAUUGCCUAUAUAGUUUUGUAACUGUGACAAUGCUGACUUUUAUCAAAGGGACACCAAACUUACUAACGAUCAUAUUGAAUUACUUUCCUACAAUAGAAGUGUUGCUUCGCAUGUUGUUCUGAGAAACCAAAAAUUCAAUCGUACUACACGAACAUUUGGAGGUGACGUAACUACUACGCGUGAUUUCGGAAUGAAAUUAUCGAUGGGCGUAAUUGGAUAUAAAUUCAUUUCGAAUCAAUAUAAGAAAUUUGCCCCGUUUGCGAUGUUUUUCAGCGUAUGUGAUGCUUUGGUGAGGAACAGUUUUGGUGUCUCGGUUUUAACUACUACGAAGGGUAAUUUAACAUUGUGUCCGAUAAAGAAAGGGUCAUAUUCCGUUAAUCAUUACACUCUGGACGAAAGUAAACUACCACCAUAUCUGCCAGAAGGCAAAUAUCGGGUUGAUCUGUCGAUUCAUGAAAAUGGACUAGAGCUUGGAUCGUUUUCUUGGUAUGGAGCUGUUACCAAGAGACGUUUAUAGAAACACUUAAAAAUUUUUAAAAGGAUAAUAAAGAAAUUUAUCAUUGAUUUAUGGCAACUAACUUAAAUUGUUAUCUUGAUAUUGUAAAAUAAAGAAAGUUGUUCAAUAAAAAAUGUGUUUAGCA